ACCCCCACCCUGGGCCCCUGGGUGCUGGGAGCUCUGUCCCCAUUGCAGAGGCCACGGGGACCAGAGACCUUGGGAUGAUGAUGGCCUCCCUCCUAGUUAGAGCUUUCCGGAAGUUUCUUCUGAGAGUACCCAGAAGGGUUUCCAUGGCGACCAUAAAUCCUGUCAAGGUGAUGAUGAAGAUGAACCAUUAGCAGCACGACAGGGAAGCAGGGUGUAAUUCUUCUCUGACCUUGUCUCCGAGCCCCUGAGCCAAUGACUGAUCUGGGAACUUAAUAAACAAGGAGGCGAACCAGAAAAGCCAAGGAAUCUGAACAGGAACAGUGAAUGAGGGAAAAUGAAGUAAAUACAGGAAGACAGGAAAAGAGAUUCACACGGUCCCCUACCAGCAGAGUCAACAUCAGCUGCUGGGCUGGUUCAUCCUGUCAACUCCAUCACCAUGGAAACACAUCUUCAGGGAGCUUAGGAGAGAUCGUUUAGACCGGCUGAGGUGGAAGACCCACCCUCCAUGUGGGCGGUGCCAUUCCCUAGGCCGGGGGUCCCAACGACUACAGAGGAGGAAGUCAGCUGAGCAUCAGCAUCCCUCUCUCUGCUUCCUGCCUAUGGACCGGAUGUGACCAGCUGCCUCAUGCUCCGGUGGUGACCAUGCUUACCCCACCACGAUGGACUGUGUCCCCUGGUCCUUAACUUGCUUUUGGGAAGUGUUUUGCCACAGCAAUGAAACUAGUAAGCCCAGGGACCUAGCAGAAAUGUGGAUUCUUAGGCCCCACCCAGACCUGCUGAAUCAGAACCUCUGUAAACCGGGCCCCGGAAGUAAAAUUUACUGGCUCGUCA